ACCUACGGGGGGCAGCAGUGGGGAAUAUUGCACAAUGGGCGAAAGCCUGAUGCAGCGACGCCGCGUGAAGGAUGAAGUAUUUCGGUAUGUAAACUUCUAUCAGCAGGGAAGAAAAUGACGGUACCUGACUAAGAAGCCCCGGCUAACUACGUGCCAGCAGCCGCGGUAAUACGUAGGGGGCAAGCGUUAUCCGGAUUUACUGGGUGUAAAGGGAGCGUAGACGGCGAUGCAAGCCAGAUGUGAAAGCCCGGGGCUCAACCCCGGUACUGCAUUU
rnacentral:rRNA from 1 species